ACUCCUACGGGAGGCAAGCAGUGAGGGAAUAUUGGACAAUGGGCGAGGCCUGAUCCAGCCAUGCCGCGUGCAGGAAGAAUGCCCUAUGGGUAGUAAACUGCUUUUAUACGGGAAGAAAAGGGGCACGUGUGCCCUGUUGACGGUACCGUAAGAAUAAGGACCGGCUAACUCCGUGCCAGCAGCCGCGGUAAUACGGAGGGUCCGAGCGUUAUCCGGAAUUAUUGGGUUUAAAGGGUCCGUAGGCGGGCCGGUAAGUCAGGGGUGAAAGUCUGUAGCUCAACUAUAGAACUGCCUUUGAUACUGCCGGUCUUGAGUCACGGUGAAGUUGCCGGAAUAUGUGGUGUAGCGGUGAAAUGCAUAGAUAUCACAUAGAACACCGAUUGCGAAGGCAGGUGACUAACCGUGUACUGACGCUGAUGGACGAAAGCGUGGGGAGCGAACAGGAUUAGAUACCCUGGUAGGUCAGUC
rnacentral:rRNA from 1 species